AUUGAACGCUGGCGGCAGGCUUAACACAUGCAAGUCGAGCGGAGAUGAGGUGCUUGCACCUUAUCUUAGCGGCGGACGGGUGAGUAAUGCUUAGGAAUCUGCCUAUUAGUGGGGGACAACAUUCCGAAAGGAAUGCUAAUACCGCAUACGUCUUACGGGAGAAAGCAGGGGAUCUUCGGACCUUGCGCUAAUAACUGAGCCUAGGUCGGAUUAGCUAGUUGGUGGGGUAAAGGCCUACCAAGGCGACGAUCUGUAGCGGGUCUGAGAGGAUGAUCCGCCACACUGGGACUGAGACACGGCCCAGACUCCUACGGGAGGCAGCAGUGGGGAAUAUUGGACAAUGGGGUGAACCCUGAUCCAGCCAUGCCGCGUGUGUGAAGAAGGCCUUAUGGUUGUAAAGCACUUUAAGCGAGGAGGAGGCUACUGAGACUAAUACUCUUGGAUAGUGGACGUUACUCGCAGAAUAAGCACCGGCUAACUCUGUGCCAGCAGCCGCCGUAAAAC
rnacentral:rRNA from 1 species